rnacentral:rRNA from 1 species
GACGAACGCUGGCGGCGUGCCUAACACAUGCAAGUCGAACGGGACCAGGGGCAACUCUGGUUCAGUGGCGGACGGGUGCGUAACACGUGAGGAACAUGACCUUCGGCGGGGGAGUAGCCGGCCCAACGGCCGGGUAAUACCGCGUACGACCGCAUGGGACGAUCCCUCGAGCGGUGAAAGCAGCAAUGCGCCGAUGGAGUGCCUCGCGGCCUAUCAGCUAGUUGGUGAGGUAACGGACGUCACCAAGGCGACGACGGGUAGGCUGGUCUGAGAGGAUGGCCAGCCACAUUGGGACUGAGACACGGCCCAGACUCCUACGGGAGGCAGCAGUGGGGAAUAUUGCGCAAUGGACGAAAGUCUGACGCAGCGACGCCGCGUGUGGGAUGACGGUCUUCGGAUUGUAAACCUCUUUCAGCUCCGACGAAGCGGAAGUGACGGUAGGAGCAGAAGAAGCACCGGCCAACUA